rnacentral:rRNA from 1 species
GAGACAGUUCGGUCCCUAUCUGCCGUGGGCGCUGGAGAACUGAGGGGGGCUGCUCCUAGUACGAGAGGACCGGAGUGGACGCAUCACUGGUGUUCGGGUUGUCAUGCCAAUGGCACUGCCCGGUAGCUAAAUGCAGAAGAGAUAAGUGCUGAAAGCAUCUAAGCACGAAACUUGCCCCGAGAUGAGUUCUCCCUGAGACUUAGAGUCUCCUGAAGGAACGUUGAAGACGCCGACGUUGAUAGGCCGGGUGUGUAAGCGCAGCGAUGCGUUGAGCUAACCGGUACUAAUGAACCGUGAGGCUUAACCUUACAACGCCGAAG